rnacentral:rRNA from 1 species
UGAACGCUGGCGGCGUGCCUAAUACAUGCAAGUCGCGCGAACAGACGAGGAGCUUGCUCCUCUGACGUUAGCGGCGGACGGGUGAGUAACACAUGGAUAACCUACCUAUAAGACUGGGAUAACUUCGGGAAACCGGAGCUAAUACCGGAUAAUAUAUUGAACCGCAUGGUUCAAUAGUGAAAGACGGUUUUGCUGUCACUUAUAGAUGGAUCCGCGCCGCAUUAGCUAGUUGGUAAGGUAACGGCUUACCAAGGCAACGAUGCGUAGCCGACCUGAGAGGGUGAUCGGCCACACUGGAACUGAGACACGGUCCAGACUCCUACGGGAGGCAGCAGUAGGGAAUCUUCCGCAAUGGGCGAAAGCCUGACGGAGCAACGCCGCGUGAGUGAUGAAGGUCUUCGGAUCGUAAAACUCUGUUAUUAGGGAAGAACAAAUGUGUAAGUAACUAUGCACGUCUUGACGGUACCUAAUCAGAAAGCCACGGCUAACUACGUG